rnacentral:rRNA from 1 species
GACGAACGCUGGCGGCGUGCUUAACACAUGCAAGUCGAACGGAAAGGCCCUGCUUGCAGGGUGCUCGAGUGGCGAACGGGUGAGUAACACGUGGGUGAUCUGCCCCUUACUUUGGGAUAAGCCUGGGAAACUGGGUCUAAUACUGGAUAGGACCAUGCUGUAGGUGGUGUGGUGGAAAGAUUAGUUUCGGUAAGGGUUGAGCUCGCGGCCUAUCAGCUUGUUGGUGGGGUAAGGGCCUACCAAGGCGUCGACGGGUAGCCGGCCUGAGAGGGUGGACGGCAACAUUGAGACUGAGAUACGGCCCAGACUCCUACGGGAGGCAGCAGUGGGGAAUAUUGCACAAUGGGCGCAAGCCUGAUGCAGCGACGCCGCGUGGGGGAUGACGGCCUUCGGGUUGUAAACUCCUUUCAGCCAUGACGAAGCCCUUGUGGUGACGGUAGUGGUAGAAGAAGCACCGGCUAACUACGUG